CGAGCGAGCUUGCCUAGAUGAUUUUAGUGCUUGCACUAAAUGAAACUAGAUACAAGCGAGCGGCGGACGGGUGAGUAACACGUGGGUAACCUGCCCAAGAGACUGGGAUAACACCUGGAAACAGAUGCUAAUACCGGAUAACAACACUAGACGCAUGUCUAGAGUUUGAAAGAUGGUUCUGCUAUCACUCUUGGAUGGACCUGCGGUGCAUUAGCUAGUUGGUAAGGUAACGGCUUACCAAGGCAAUGAUGCAUAGCCGAGUUGAGAGACUGAUCGGCCACAUUGGGACUGAGACACGGCCCAAACUCCUACGGGAGGCAGCAGUAGGGAAUCUUCCACAAUGGACGAAAGUCUGAUGGAGCAACGCCGCGUGAGUGAAGAAGGGUUUCGGCUCGUAAAGCUCUGUUGGUAGUGAAGAAAGAUAGAGGUAGUAACUGGCCUUUAUUUGACGGUAAUUACUUAGAAAGUCACGGCUAACUACGUGCCAGCAGCCGCGGUAAUACGUAGGUGGCAAGCGUUGUCCGGAUUUAUUGGGCGUAAAGCGAGUGCAGGCGGUUCAAUAAGUCUGAUGUGAAAGCCUUCGGCUCAACCGGAGAGUUGCAUCAGAAACUGUUGAACUUGAGUGCAGAAGAGGAGAGUGGAACUCCAUGUGUAGCGGUGGAAUGCGUAGAUAUAUGGAAGAACACCAGUGGCGAAGGCGGCUCUCUGGUCUGCAACUGACGCUGAGGCUCGAAAGCAUGGGUAGCGAACAGGAUUAGAUACCCUGGUAGUCCAUGCCGUAAACGAUGAGUGCUAAGUGUUGGG
rnacentral:rRNA from 1 species